rnacentral:rRNA from 1 species
CCUACGGGCGGCAGCAGUGGGGAAUAUUGCACAAUGGGGGAAACCCUGAUGCAGCGACGCCGCGUGAGUGAAGAAGUAUUUCGGUACGUAAAGCUCUAUCAGCAGGGAAGAAAAUGACGGUACCUGACUAAGAAGCCCCGGCUAACUACGUGCCAGCAGCCGCGGUAAUACGUAGGGGACAAGCGUUAUCCGGAUUUACUGGGUGUAAAGGGAGCGUAGACGGCAGCGCAAGUCUGGAGUGAAAUCCCAUGGCUUAACCAUGGAACUGCUUUGGAAACUGUGCAGCUAGAGUGCAGGAGAGGUAAGCGGAAUUCCUAGUGUAGCGGUGAAAUGCGUAGAUAUUAGGAGGAACACCAGUGGCGAAGGCGGCUUACUGGACUGUAACUGACGUUGAGGCUCGAAAGCGUGGGGAGCAAACAGGAUUAGAUACCCGAGUAGUC